GAUCCUGGCUCAGAAUCAACGCUGGCGGCGCGCUUAACACAUGCAAGUCGCACGAGAAAGGGAGCAAUCCCAAGUAAAGUGGCGCACGGGUGAGUAACACGUGGAUCAUCCACCUUCUUGUGGGGAAUAACUUGGGGAAACCCGAGCUAAUACCGCAUAAGCCCGAGAGGGGAAAGCAGCAAUGCGCAGGAAGAGGAGUCCGCGGUCGAUUAGCUAGUUGGUAGGGUAAAAGCCUACCAAGGCUAUGAUCGAUAGCCGGCCUGAGAGGGCACACGGCCACACUGGCACUGAAACACGGGCCAGACUCCUACGGGAGGCAGCAGUGGGGAAUCUUGCACAAUGGGGGAAACCCUGAUGCAGCGACGCCGCGUGGGUGAUGAAGUCCUUCGGGAUGUAAAGCCCUUUCGACGGGAACGAUAAUGACGGUACCCGGAGAAGAAGCUGCGGCUAACUACGUGCCAGCAGCCGCGGUAAUACGUAGGCAGCAAGCGUUGUUCGGAGUUACUGGGCGUAAAGAGUAUGUAGGCGGUUGGGUAAGUUUGGUGUGAAAUCUCCCGGCUUAACUGGGAGGGUGCGCUAAAGACUGCCUGGCUUGAGUGUGGGAGAGGAAAGCGGAAUUCCUGGUGUAGCGGUGAAAUGCGUAGAUAUCAGGAGGAACACCUGCGGUGUAGACGGCUUUCUGGACCAUAA
rnacentral:rRNA from 1 species